rnacentral:tRNA from 1 species
CAACUCCUUCCCCUGCUA